GGAUGGAAAGGAACACCAGAAGGUUUCAACAGACAAACAGAGACGCCAAGGACCGAGCAAAGAAGAUCACAAUUCAAGUGCACUUCACUGGCGAAAAGAUACCUAAAUGGUCGCCCAUGUUACAGAACAUAAAUAGCUACCCGUAUGAAAGUUCCACAAAUGUAAUUUAUGUAAUAGGACAGUAGUUAAACAACAAUAGUUGUAGAGUUUUUCAAAAUAAUUGUACAUAUGAGAACUGUUCUAGAGUCCAAAAGAACAGAUGAUAGUAAUUUUGGUAUAUUAGUUGAAAUACAACAAUUUUUCUUCAAAAAAAAAAAGAUGGUAUUUGAUCCGACAUGAAAUUUAUAAAAGAAAAACA
rnacentral:lncRNA from 1 species